GUAGGUUCAGGUUGAACUAGGUCUGAAAAGGCUGGCGUCGGCGGUUCAACUCCGUCCCUGGCCACCA
rnacentral:tRNA from 1 species